AUUGAACGCUGGCGGCAUGCUUUACACAUGCAAGUCGAACGGUAACAGGUUAAGCUGACGAGUGGCGAACGGGUGAGUAAUGCAUCGGAACGUGCCCGAUCGUGGGGGAUAACGCAGCGAAAGCUGUGCUAAUACCGCAUACGCCCUGAGGGGGAAAGCGGGGGAUCGCAAGACCUCGCGCGAUUAGAGCGGCCGAUGCCUGAUUAGCUAGUUGGUGGGGUAAAAGCCCACCAAGGCGACAAUCAGUAGCUGGUCUGAGAGGACGAUCAGCCACACUGGGACUGAGACACGGCACAGACGCGUACGGGGGGCAGCAGUGGGGAAUGUUGGACGAUGGGAGCAACCCUGAUCCAGCAAUGCCGCGUGAGUGAAGAAGGCCUUCGGGUUGUAAAGCUCUUUUGUCAGGGAAGAAACACCGGCUCUAACACAGUCCGGGAAUGACGGUACCUGAAGAAUAAGCACCGGCUAACUACGUGCCAGCCGCCGCCGUAA
rnacentral:rRNA from 1 species